AGUGGCGGACGGGUGAGUAACGCGUGAGAAUCUACCUUCAGGUUGGGGAUAACAGGGGGAAACUGCUGCUAAUACCCAAUGUGCCGAGAGGUGAAAGGCUAGCUGCCUGAAGAAGAGCUCGCGUCUGAUUAGCUAGUUGGAGUGGUAACGGCACACCAAGGCGACGAUCAGUAGCUGGUCUGAGAGGAUGAUCAGCCACACUGGGACUGAGACACGGCCCAGACUCCUACGGGAGGCAGCAGUGGGGAAUUUUCCGCAAUGGGCGAAAGCCUGACGGAGCAACGCCGCGUGCGGGAAGACGGCCUGUGGGUUGUAAACCGCUUUUCUCUGGGAAGAAUAAGUUGACGGUACCAGAGGAAUCAGCAUCGGCUAACUCCGUGCCAGCAGCCGCGGUAAUACGGAGGAUGCAAGCGUUAUCCGGAAUUAUUGGGCGUAAAGCGUCCGCAGGCGGCUUAUCAAGUCUGCUGUUAAAGGUCGGGGCUCAACUCCGGUUAGGCAGUGGAAACUGAUAGGCUAGAGUGUGGUAGGGGUAGAGGGAAUUCCCAGUGUAGCGGUGAAAUGCGUAGAUAUUGGGAAGAACACCAGUGGCGAAGGCGCUCUACUGGGCCACAACUGACGCUGAGGGACGAAAGCUAGGGGAGCGAAAGGGAUUAGAUACCCCUGUAGUCCUAGCUGUAAACGAUGGACACUAGGUGUU
rnacentral:rRNA from 1 species